GCAUGUCUAAGUAUAAGCAAUUAUACGCUGAGCUGUGAAUGGGGCUUUAAUCUCAUAUCUAUUAUUUGAUAUGCCUUACUACUUGGAUAACCGCGGUAAUUUUAGAGCUAAUACAUGCUAAAAAUCCCCACUCUCGAAGGGAUGUAUUUAUUAUAUUAAAAACCAAUGCCCCUUGGGGCUUAUAGGUGAUUCAUAAUAACUUCUCGAAUCGCAUGGCCUUGCGCCGGCGAUGGUUCAUUCAAAUUUCUGCCCUAUCAACUUUCGAUGGUAGGGUCUUGGCCUGCCAUGGUUUCAACGGGUAACGGAGGGUUAGGGAUCGACCCCGGAAAAGGAGCCUGAGAAACGGCUACUACAUCCAAGGAAGGCAGCAGGCGCGCAAAUUACCCAAUCCCCACACGGGGAGGUAGGGACAAUAAAUACUGAUACAGGGCUCUUUUGGGUCUUGUAAUUGGAAUGAGUACAAUUUAAAUCCCUUAACCAGG
rnacentral:rRNA from 1 species